GUUGGGUAGGGGAGCGUUCUGUAAGCCUGUGAAGGUGGCCUGUGAGGGUUGCUGGAGGUAUCAGAAGUGCGAAUGCUGACAUAAGUAACGAUAAAGCGGGUGAAAAGCCCGCUCGCCGGAAGACCAAGGGUUCCUGUCCAACGUUAAUCGGGGCAGGGUGAGUCGACCCCUAAGGCGAGGCCGAAAGGCGUAGUCGAUGGGAAACGGGUUAAUAUUCCCGUACUUGGUGUUACUGCGAAGGGGGGACGGAGAAGGCUAUGUUGGCCGGGCGACGGUUGUCCCGGUUUAAGCGUGUAGGCUGGUUUUCCAGGCAAAUCCGGAAAAUCAAGGCUGAGGCGUGAUGACGAGGCACUACGGUGCUGAAGCAACAAAUGCCCUGCUUCCAGGAAAAGCCUCUAAGCAUCAGGUAACAUCAAAUCGUACCCCAAACCGACACAGGUGGUCAGGUAGAGAAUACCAAGGCGCUUGAGAGAACUCGGGUGAAGGAACUAGGCAAAAUGGUGCCGUAACUUCGGGAGAAGGCACGCUGACAUGUAGGUGAAGUGAUUUACUCACGGAGCUGAAGUCAGUCGAAGAUACCAGCUGGCUGCAACUGUUUAUUAAAAACACAGCACUGUGCAAACACGAAAGUGGACGUAUACGGUGUGACGCCUGCCCGGUGCCGGAAGGUUAAUUGAUGGGGUCAGCGCAAGCGAAGCUCCUGAUCGAAGCCCCGGUAAACGGCGGCCGUAACUAUAACGGUCCUAAGGUAGCGAAAUUCCUUGUCGGGUAAGUUCCGACCUGCACGAAUGGCGUAAUGAUGGCCAGGCUGUCUCCACCCGAGACUCAGUGAAAUUGAACUCGCUGUGAAGAUGCAGUGUACCCGCGGCAAGACGGAAAGACCCCGUGAACCUUUACUAUAGCUUGACACUGAACAUUGAGCCUUGAUGUGUAGGAUAGGUGGGAGGCUUUGAAGUGUGGACGCCAGUCUGCAUGGAGCCGACCUUGAAAUACCACCCUUUAAUGUUUGAUGUUCUAACGUGGACCCGUUACCCGGGUUGCGGACAGUGUCUGGUGGGUAGUUUGACUGGGGCGGUCUCCUCCUAAAGAGUAACGGAGGAGCACGAAGGUUGGCUAAUCCUGGUCGGACAUCAGGAGGUUAGUGCAAUGGCAUAAGCCAGCUUGACUGCGAGCGUGACGGCGCGAGCAGGUGCGAAAGCAGGUCAUAGUGAUCCGGUGGUUCUGAAUGGAAGGGCCAUCGCUCAACGGAUAAAAGGUACUCCGGGGAUAACAGGCUGAUACCGCCCAAGAGUUCAUAUCGACGGCGGUGUUUGGCACCUCGAUGUCGGCUCAUCACAUCCUGGGGCUGAAGUAGGUCCCAAGGGUAUGGCUGUUCGCCAUUUAAAGUGGUACGCGAGCUGGGUUUAGAACGUCGUGAGACAGUUCGGUCCCUAUCUGCCGUGGGCGCUGGAGAACUGAGGGGGGCUGCUCCUAGUACGAGAGGACCGGAGUGGACGCAUCACUGGUGUUCGGGUUGUCAUGCCAAUGGCACUGCCCGGUAGCUAAAUGCGGAAGAGAUAAGUGCUGAAAGCAUCUAAGCACGAAACUUGCCCCGA
rnacentral:rRNA from 1 species